rnacentral:snRNA from 13 species
GGUUCAGUUACCCAAGUUUGAGGUGAACUCGGCGAUGGGUUGGAAGUAAUGGGAUGAAAACCACAUAUUCUUGAUCCUCUCAUCGAGAGGAGGAAG